rnacentral:pre_miRNA from 1 species
CCUCUGCUUUCUCGGUCCAACAAAAUAUGUCUCAAGUUUGUCAAAAUUUGGAUGUAUCUAGACUUACUUAGUGUAUAGAUGCAUUCAAAUUUGGUCAAAGUUGGGACAUCCUUCGUUGUACGGAGGGAGUACUAA